rfam:Asian citrus Psyllid, Diaphorina citri - Florida Strain, whole genome shotgun sequence.
GCCUUGGUAGUAUAGUGGUCAAGAUGCUCGUCUGGUAAACAGGAGGGCGUGGGUUCAAUCUCAGCUGAGGUA